rnacentral:lncRNA from 1 species
GUAUGUAAAGAGAGUAAUGCACCAUAUUCCAUAGAAAGUGCUUAUAUCAAAUUACACUUAUUGUGUUGUUAUAUUAACUAUGUUAAAAAUAAACGUUUUACGGAUUAUAUGUUUGCGAAUGAAUGUGAGCAGGUGGCUAGUUCAGAUCAGGGUACCAAUAAAAGAAACAAUAACAGAAUCAAUACUGAAAGUAUUAACGAAAAUGGUAGUACAUCUAUUCCCACGUUAGAAAAACGAACAUAUGAACACCAAGACGAAUACAGUUGGGUUGAAGAUGUCAUGUUCCCUAAUAAUGUUAUUUACUAUUAUAUAACCAACCACCUUUUAAACAGAUUUACUAUUAACAAUUAUGACUAUUUGGAAAAAAGGUUUCUGAAAAAUCGAAAAUUCAUUGUUUCUUUUAGUGAACAAGACAACAGGAACAAACAAAGUAGUACUACUGAAAAGGAAAGUAGUACUACUGAAAAGGAAAGUAGUACUACUGAAAAGGAAAGUAGUACUACUGAAAAGGAAAGUAGUACUACUGAAAAACAAAAUAGAACAACCACACUUUCCAAACUAAAUAAGGACUACUAUUUUUAUAGGACAUUCGAACUAAAUGAAAUUGAUCAUGUGAUUUUUGAUUCAUAUGACAGACUAUUUCUCAAUAGUAAUAAUAUCAGUGGUAUUGGUGGUAGUGGUAGUAGUGGAGGCAUUGGUGACAGUGGUAACAAACAAAUGAAUACAUGUUUAAGUCCAAAGAAAACUAAUAACAGUAAUAAAAAUAAUAAUACAAACGAAGAAAAAUCAGAAUAUUUAUAUAAUGAUGAUAUAUCAAAAAAAAGAAGACAAAACAUACUAAUAAAAAUACUAGAAUUGUUUUUAUACUCUUUUAUUAUAAUCAAAACAAAUGAUAUUAACGUAUCGUUGCUAGCUGUAGAUAUGGUAGUCUUUUGGAAAAAAUUCCUUUACAUUAGUUCGAUUUUUACGUUAAAAAAAAAAAAUAAAAAUAAAUGUCGCGAUCAGAAUGAUCAGAAGGAACAAAACGAAGACCAGUGGUCGAAUGACCAGCACAAACAAUACCAUCAACAUAGACAUCAGACCAGACAACAGACUGCACAAUUUAAAACUACCAAGUCCACAUAUUUAAAUCAGUAUAAUACCGGUAGAGGAGGAACCAGACACAAUAUUAACUACGAUGGUUAUAGUAAUUAUCGCGAUAUCAACGUUCAUAAUAUUAGUAGUAAUAGUAGUAGUAAUAGUAACAGUAGUAGCAGUGAUGAAUAUAAUGAUAUAUACUGUGAUAGCAUUGAUAAUACGAAUAGUGUAAAGAAUAACUUUCGAUUCAAAGAUAAUGUUUAUAAGAACAAAAAUGAAAAAUAUAAUAAACUACGUUUAGAAAAAAUAAAAAAAUAUAAAAACCUUAUGAUGACCUUAAAAUGUCCUUUUAAUUUCUCUUCUGUUAAUGUU